AGCGGCCGAGUCCAGCAAUGUGGACAGCCAGACGCAUGCUUGGUGGAGGCAGCCAGCGCCCCCGUCCUGGUCUCGGUCAUCAGUUCCAUCAAUGACAAAUGCUGCUGGGGCCCAUGAGGACCACCUGCGCCACUCACAUGUUGCUUUCCUUCUGCGAUCUGCUAGCUUCCGAGAUGGCCAAGGCAGAUGCACUCAUGGCUCAGUGAGAAGGUGAACGUCGCCUCUGCGUUCACUGCUAAUGGAGACUGGAGUAACGAUGUCUGGUCUGCGUUAAGGCGGGCAGCUCGGCGGCCCACACCUUUGGUUUUUUGGUCUCAGGCCCAUUAUGGAUAAGCUGGUGUGGGGUGGGGCAGGGGAGUUUCAGGGGCUGGAAUGGCCUCAUGGCAGCCCCACGUAGAGGCUGCCUGGCCCCUGGACUGGCCCCACCAAGGGGAACAGGACAUUGCAGCUGGGCUUGGGGAAGAAGGGAGGCCUGUCCUUUUGAUUCUUCUUUCUGGCAUCCUGUGUGUGCACGUCUGUGUAAGUGUGUGUACACAUGUACACCUGCCUAUAGUUUCUUUCCACUUGGAAUUGGUUUUGACAAAAAGGUGCGUCAGCUUCCCAAGCUGGUCCCUGCAACAGUGAGGGAUGGAGCCUCAUCCUCAUCCCAGAGCCACACCCUCAGCUUCCCCCGGAAAAGGCAGCGGCUUCUUCUGAUGCAUGGAUACAGCCCCCACUACGGAGCUGGGGAGGGAGCUGCAGGCAGCCUUGACCCCAGACCAAAUUCAAAGGACCUGCCUCUUCCAAAGGCCUCCCUCCAAGGGCCACGGGGACCCCAUGACCGUCCUCUCAUCCCAAGCUGGCUGCAUGGGGUGGGCUGGUUUAUCGCAGAUAAGACUGCACCCGCUGAUGAGGCCAGAUGCAGGUGAACCCCAGUGCUGCCAAUGAGGAGUCUGCAGAUGGGGUGAGGCUGAAAGGCAGUUGUGGAAGGCCGGGCAGUGGCAGCCACAUGGCAGAGGAGGGGGUGGGAGACCCGGGGCAGGGAUGGAACAGCCAUGGGGUGCAGGAGACUGCACCCCCUGUGAAGGACAGGCCAGCGGCCAGCCCCCAGGCCACCCUGGCUCCUGUCAGCAUCCCAGGUCGAGUCCACUGUCAUCCUCAUCUGAACACCCUGACUGCAUCUAACACCAGGGCAUCUGCUUCCUGGCCUCUGCAGGGCCCACUCUACAGCCUCUGACGCUAUGUGCAAUGGUCUCAGGGUCAGGGCCAAGAGCACUGUGAUAGCGAAUUUCAUGUGUCAACCUGAGUGGGCCUUGGGUGCCUAGACAUUUGGCCAAGCAUCGUUCUGGGUGUGCUGUGGGUGUUUCCAGGUGAGAUUAGCAUGUGAAGGGUGGCCCUCCCCAGGGUGGUGGGCCUCGUCCAAUCAGUUGGGGGCCUACAUAGAGCCAAAGGCUGAGUGACAGGGCCUCCUCCUGUGACGGCUGCAGCUGGGACCUCAGUCUUUUCCUGCCUUUGGGCUUGGACUGCAAUACCAGCUCUUCUUGGGUCUUCAGCCUUCAGGCUGGAACCUGCAGCAGCAUUUCUCUGGUUCUUGGGCCUUCAGACUCAGACUGGACCGAAACCAUCAGCUCUCCUGGGCCUCCAGCUUGCCAGCGACAGGUCUCGGGAUUUGCCCCUUCCAUAAGUGCUUGAGCCAGGUCUUCAGGAUAAAUCUCUUUCCACCUAUCCUGUUGGUUGUGUUUCUCUGGAUAACUCAGACUAAUACAAGCCAGUCCUUCCAUG
rnacentral:antisense_RNA from 1 species